UACGGAGGGGGCAAGCGUUGUUCGGAAUUACUGGGCGUAAAGGGCGCGCAGGCGGCUGCUCAAGUCAGGCGUGAAAGGCCUGGGCUCAACCCGGGAACUGCGUCCGAUACUGGCAGGCUUGAAUCCGGGAGAGGGAUGCGGAAUUCCAGGUGUAGCGGUGAAAUGCGUAGAUAUCUGGAGGAACACCGGUGGCGAAGGCGGCAUCCUGGACCGGCAUUGACGCUGAGGCGCGAAAGCCAGGGGAGCAAACGGG
rnacentral:rRNA from 1 species